UACGUAGGGGGCGAGCGUUGUCCGAAGUUACUGGGCGUAAAGCGCGCGUAGGCGGUUUCUUAAGUCUGGUGUGAAAGGUUCAGGGCUCAACCCGAAGAGUGCACUGGAUACUGGGAAACUUGAGUAUGGGAGAGGAGAGCGGAAUUCCUGGUGUAGCGGUGAAAUGCGUAGAUAUCAGGAGGAACACCGAUGGCGAAGGCAGCUCUCUGGCCUGUAACUGACGCUGAGGUGCGAAAGCGUGGGGAGCAAACAGG
rnacentral:rRNA from 1 species